GAGUAACGCGUGGGUAACCUGCCUUAUACAGGGGGAUAACAGUUAGAAAUGACUGCUAAUACCGCAUAAGCGCACAGGAUUGCAUGAUCUGGUGUGAAAAACUCCGGUGGUAUAAGAUGGACCCGCGUCUGAUUAGCUUGUUGGUGAGGUAACGGCCCACCAAGGCGACGAUCAGUAGCCGACCUGAGAGGGUGACCGGCCACAUUGGGACUGAGACACGGCCCAGACUCCUACGGGAGGCAGCAUG
rnacentral:rRNA from 1 species